GGGGAUGUAGCUCAGUGGUGCUGUGCCUGCCUGGCAAGCACAAGGUCCUGAGUUUGAUCCUCAGUACCCCCC
rfam:Fukomys damarensis contig135622, whole genome shotgun sequence.